AGAGUUUGAUCAUGGCUCAGGAUGAACGCUGGCGGAGUGCCUAACACAUGCAAGUCGAGCGGCAGCGCGAGGUAGUUUUACUACUUGGCGGCGAGCGGCGGACGGCUGAGUAACGCGUGGGAACAUGCCCCAAAGUGAGGAAUAACUGCCCGAAAGGGUAGCUAAUGCCGCAUACGAUCUUCAGAUUAAAGGAUUUAUCCGCUUUGGGAGUGGCCUGCGUACGAUUAGAUAGUUGGUGAGGUAAUGGCUCACCAAGUCUACGAUCGUUAACUGGUUUGAGAGGAUGAUCAGUCAGACUGGAACUGAGACACGGUCCAGACUCCUACGGGAGGCAGCAGUGAGGAAUCUUCCACAAUGGACGAAAGUCUGAUGGAGCAACUCCGCGUGCAGGAUGAAGGCCUUCGGGUCGUAAACUGCUUUUAUGAGUGAAGAAUAUGACGGUAACUCAUGAAUAAGGGUCGGCUAACUACGUG
rnacentral:rRNA from 1 species